UGACGCCCCAGGUCGAAUGGCCAAUGCCCAGUCUGCAGUCUCAUAUUAGUUUCAGAAUUUCAGAAUGUAACAGGCUGUUACAGCAAUUUUAGGAGCAUUUCUCUUAAAGAGACAAUACAUCUGACUGCAGUCUCGCCCGUGACCUCUGGAGGUGGCAUAGGAGACGGAAGACUCCAGUGUAUUUACUGACAGGACAAGAUGAAAUCUCCCCUGGCUACGGAAGCAACAGAGUGACGCACAGAGUAAGAACCCACUCGGUUCAUGGAAUGCACAUGCUAACUCUUACUCAGUUGACAUUGAGUUACCCCCUAAUUUGACUAAUUGCAGGUCUCGCUUUGUGACUAUGAGUCAACUACUGGCAGAAAUGUAUUAAUGUUUCUGAACAUAGAUUUAUUUUGGGAUUGGCAAGGAGUGGGAGGUGGCGUGUUGGUGGAGUGUGCCUCCCUGCAACCUGGUCUCAGAGCAUUUAGUAUUAUUCUUUACGUAAAUCCGACACUAUUUAUUAUGAUAAGUUACAUUUCUUAUGGUAUGUAUUAAU